AAGUAUACUUUAUCAUUUUACUAAAUACAUGUCUAGGCCUAGCAUACCCUAUCAAUUUACUAAAUACAUGUCUAGGCCUAGCAUACCCUAUCAAUUUACUAUAUACAUGUUUAGGGCUAGUAAACCCUAUCAUUUUACUUAAGGUCUGGGCUCAGCAUGCCCUAUCAUUUUAUUAAAUGCGUGUCUAGGCCUAGCACAUCCUAUCAUUUGUCAAAGACUGUGUAUCUAAGCCUAGCAUUCCUACAAUACUGUUAAAAUGUUUGAAAUAUAUUUGAUCAGUCUUUAUGGUUGUUGACUUUACCCCAGGGAUACUUAAACAAGACUUACACAUCUUGUAUAUCAUUAGAGAUCUCCAUGAUAGUUAGUCCAAGACCUGUCUUUACAUUAUGAUGUUUGAUCUAAGACAUGUCUUGUACACUAUGAUGUUGGAUGUAUAAACUAUUUAAGCAGAAUGAAAAUAAUUGUUUGUAUAUAAAUUGUGAAGUGUCAAUAAAAAAACAUUUUUAUCAAA